rnacentral:tRNA from 1 species
AAAAGAUUAGUUUUGUUUAAAAAUAUUAGAUUGUAAAUCUAAAGAGGUAUCUUUUA